rnacentral:rRNA from 1 species
UACGAAGGGGGCUAGCGUUGCUCGGAAUUAUUGGGCGUAAAGCGCACGUAGGCGGCUUUGCAAGUCCCAUGUGAAAUCCCACGGCUUAACCGUGGAAGUGCAUGGGAAACUGCAGAGCUUGAGUACUUAAGAGGAUCGCGGAAUUCCCGGUGUAGAGGUGAAAUUCGUAGAGAUCCGGAGGAACACCAGAGGCGAAAGCGGCGUCCUGGGGUGAGGUUGACGCUCAGACACGAAAGCAUGGGGAGCGAACGGG